rnacentral:misc_RNA from 1 species
UCAAACUUGGUCAUUUAGAGGAAGUAAAAGUCGUAACAAGGUUUCCGUAGGUGAACCUGCGGAAGGAUCAUUACCGAGUGUUUGGGCGCCCCUUCUCGGGGUGUCCGUCCUCCCAUCCGUGUCUCUUUGUACCCUGUUGCUUCGGCGGGCCCGCCCUCCGUGGCCGCCGGGGGGCCUCCCUGGCCCCCGGGCCCGUGCCCGCCGGAGACCUCAACCAUGAACACUGUCUGAAGGUUGCAGUCUGAGUACCGAUAGUAAAAAUCGUUAAAACUUUCAACAACGGAUCUCUUGGUUCCGGCAUCGAUGAAGAACGCAGC